CUGUGAUGCCCUUAGAUGUUC
rnacentral:siRNA from 1 species